CAGCCGCCGCGGUAAAACGAAGGGUGCAAGCGUUAAUCGGAAUUACUGGGCGUAAAGCGUGCGUAGGUGGUGGUUUAAGUCCGUUGUGAAAGCCCUGGGCUCAACCUGGGAAUUGCAGCGGAUACUGGGUCACUAGAGUGUGGUAGAGGAUAGUGGAAUUUCCGGUGUAGCAGUGAAAUGCGUAGAGAUCGGAAGGAACAUCCGUGGCGAAGGCGACUAUCUGGGCCAACACUGACACCGAGGCACGAAAGCGUGGGGAGCAAACAGGAUUAGAUACCCCGGUAGUCCCUGUCUCUUAUAC
rnacentral:rRNA from 1 species